UACGUAGGGUGCGAGCGUUAAUCGGAAUUACUGGGCGUAAAGUGUGCGCAGGCGGCCGCGCAAGUCGAGUGUGAAAGCCCCGGGCUUAACUUGGGAAUUGCGCUCGAAACUACGUGGCUGGAGUGUGGCAGAGGAAGGUGGAAUUCCACGUGUAGCGGUGAAAUGCGUAGAUACUGGGAGGAACACCAGUGGCGAAGGCGGCUACCUGGACCGGUUCUGACGCUGAGGCGCGAAAGCGUGGGGAGCAAACAGG
rnacentral:rRNA from 1 species